rnacentral:lncRNA from 1 species
GAACCUCGAUUGAAAUCUUGGAUGUGUUGAAGUCAUCUGUAACAGUGGAUCCAAAGGAGUGUGAAGGUCCAUCUGUGUUUUCCACUGCAAGUUAAGAAACCAGCACUUUCCUUCUCCUGGAGAGGGUGAUUUUGUUUAAGAUCUUCAAAGGGGAGUGAGCCACAAGGCUAUCUGUAGGCUUGCAGUUCUACCGACUCAUGAGGAAUUCAGCAGGGGAAGACGAGGCACGUGCUCGAUGGUGUGUCAGUCCCGGCGUGAUGGAGAGCUUCCCAUGGGAUCGCACCAGAGCUGAUGUUAGUGAGCAUGGCUGCACUUGGGGACCAGCUUCGUGGGGGAGCAGAAGAAAGGACUUCCCUCUACUGAGAACUAAAGCAAUAAAAAGUGAGCAAAGUGCAAACGGUAGCGGGGGUCUGCAGCUACUGCUAUUAUUUCGGGUGUUCUGGAGCUCGUACGAUGAUGUCUCCCUGUCGGAAGGGUUCGUUUCCCCCUCCCUUCACCUUCGUGUUUUGGAGCCUGAAUAUCUGAUGCACACACAUGGCAGUGGCCCUGGCCGCUUCUCCCCAUCACCCGCAGCCUGUGUCCCCCGCGCAAGUUCCUGCAGACGGAGCCCAGGGUAGGGGAGAAAAGAAGAAACCUGCAACGUUGCGGG